rnacentral:rRNA from 1 species
UGGGGAAUAUUGGGCAAUGGGCGCAAGCCUGACCCAGCAACGCCGCGUGAGGGAAGAAGGCUUUCGGGUUGUAAACCUCUGUCCUUGGUGACGAAAAAAAUGACGGUAGCCAAGGAGGAAGCCCCGGCUAACUACGUGCCAGCAGCCGCGGUAAUCCGUAGGGGGCGAGCGUUGUCCGGAAUUACUGGGCGUAAAGGGUGCGUAGGGGGCCUUUUAAGUUGGAGGUGAAAUCCCCGGGCUUAACUUGGGUGGUGCAUCUAAUAAUGGAGGGCUAGAGUGCAGGAGAGGAAAGCGGAAUUCCUAGUGUAGCGGUGAAAUGCGUAGAUAUUAGGAGGAACACCAGUGGCGAAGGCGGCUUUCUGGACUGUAACUGACACUGAGGCACGAAAGCGUGGGGAGCAAACA